rnacentral:rRNA from 1 species
UACAGAGGGGGCAAGCGUUGUUCGGAAUUACUGGGCGUAAAGGGCGCGUAGGCGGCUUGCCAAGUCGGGGGUGAAAUCCGGCAGCUUAACUGUCGAAGUGCCUUCGAUACUGGCAAGCUCGAGGGAGGUAGGGGUCUGUGGAACUUCUGGUGGAGCGGUGAAAUGCAUUGAUAUCAGAAGGAACGCCGGUGGCGAAAGCGACGGACUGGACCUCUUCUGACGCUGAGGCGCGAAAGCUAGGGGAGCAAACGGG